GACGAACGCUGGCGGCGUGCCUAAUACAUGCAAGUCGAGCGGACGGAUGGGAGCUUGCUCCCAGACCGUCAGCGGCGGACGGGUGAGUAACACGUGGGCAACCUGCCUGUAAGACUGGGAUAACUCCGGGAAACCGGGGCUAAUACCGGAUAACUCUUUCCCUCACAUGAGGGAAAGCUGAAAGAUGGCAUCUCGCUAUCACUUACAGAUGGGCCCGCGGCGCAUUAGCUAGUUGGUGAGGUAACGGCUCACCAAGGCGACGAUGCGUAGCCGACCUGAGAGGGUGAUCGGCCACACUGGGACUGAGACACGGCCCAGACUCCUACGGGAGGCAGCAGUAGGGAAUCUUCCGCAAUGGACGAAAGUCUGACGGAGCAACGCCGCGUGAGUGAUGAAGGUUUUCGGGUCGUAAAACUCUGUUGUCAGGGAAGAACAAGUACCGGAGUAACUGCCGGUACCUUGACGGUACCUGACCAGAAAGCCACGGCUAACUACGUG
rnacentral:rRNA from 1 species